CUCGGACCCAUUUGCUCCGAACGGAACGACUCAGACCCACUUGCUCCGAACGGAACGACUCAGACCCACUUGCUCCGAACGGAAUGUCUCGGACCCACUUGCUCCGAACGGAUUGACUCAGACCCACUUGCUCCGAACGGAAUGACUCAGACCCACUUGCUCCGAACGGAUUGACUCAGACCCACUUGCUCCGAACGGAAUGACUCAGACCAACUUGCCCCGAACGGAAUGACUCAGAGACACAUGGUGCAAACGGAAUGACCCAGAGCCACUUGCUCCGAACAGAAUGACUCAGAGCCACAUGGUGCAAACGGAAUGACCCAGAGCCACUUGCUCCGAACAGAAUGACUCAGACCCACUUGCUCCAAACGGAAUGACUCAGAGCCACAUGGUGCAAACGGAAUGACCCACUUGCUCCGAACGAAAAAAGAAGCCACUGUUUGGAUGCCAUUCAGCCAAGUUAUGGUUAUCAUAAAGCACAGCUUGCUGUAGUCUGCUCUGCUCUGAGCAGACUUAUGUUCACGUGAUCCUGUGUGUUACAUUACAGUGGUGGUGGUGGUUUAGGCCUCGGCUGCUCUGAGCAGACUUAUGACCACGUGAUCCUGUGUGUUACAUUACAGUGGUGGUGGUGGUUUAGGCCUCGGCUGCUCUGAGCAGGCUUAUGACCACGUGAUCCUGUGUGUUACAUUACAGUGGUCGUGGUGGUUUAGGCCUCGGCUGCUCUGAGCAGGCUUAUGACCACGUGAUCCUGUGUGUUACAUUACAGUGGUGGUGGUGGUUUAGGCCUGGGCUGGUCUGCAUGGUCACUUGUCUCUUAAUAUCUUAAUAGGUGGAACUCUUCAACAGAAGCCUUCACCAACGAGUCCAAGAACAAAUGAUACAACCUAACUACACUUUAUCUAGUUUUCUCCAACGCCCCCUCGCCAAAUAGAUGCUAAUCUUUGUGCGCCCGGGUGGAGCGGCCAGCGUCCCAGGUUGCCAGCUGUUUGGAGGAUAAAAGAGUGAUGCAUGAUGGGAGUUAUUAUUUACAGCCCACAACAAAACAGAACAGCAGCUCAUGCGAAAUAAGAGCCAGCAUACUAUGCCCUCCUGUGUCCUCAUAAGUGUCCUCAUAAGUGACCGGCCAGUGAUGGUGACCACCUCCAUGUCCCCCUCCCCACCCAGACCGGCCCCUGCCCACCAAACCCACCGUGGCCAUCCUAGAGGUGGUCUGAGCAGAGCAGAAG
ensembl:lncRNA